GAAGAAGUCAGCCAGGGUUGGAAUCUUCAUACAUCUUGUUAGCAUGGCUACUGACCCCGGAUAUGAAGUGCAGUAUUCAGUAUACGAGAUACAAAACAAGCAGCAAUCUUCACAGGAUUCCUUUCACAGUUCUCAAUGUAUGACAAAAAGCCCCUGCAAAUUAGAAGCAUUAUUUUCUCAUCAUAACUCAACAAUAGAUCAACGUUAAAAUACCACCCACUUUUCUGGAUGGAAAAAUGUUUAAGCAAUUUAACUGAUAAAUCAGUGGUUUUUAUGAGAUGAAAAUACAUUCAAUCUUACCGCCAAGACAUCUUCAAGUGCCCGGACAAACAUUCUCUCAGUUUCAAUGAGUUCUA